UACGGGGGGGGCAAGCGUUGUUCGGAAUUACUGGGCGUAAAGGGCUCGUAGGCGGCCAACUAAGUCAGACGUGAAAUCCCUCGGCUUAACCUGGGAACUGCGCUUGUAACUGGCAAGCUGGAGUGUGGCAGAGGGGGGUGGAAUUCCACGUGUAGCAGUGAAAUGCGUAGAGAUGUGGAGGAACACCGAUGGCGAAGGCAGCCCCCUGGGCUAACACUGACGCUCAUGCACGAAAGCGUGGGGAGCAAACAGG
rnacentral:rRNA from 1 species